GCAGGUCUACCUAGUAAUGAACUGUACUGUAAGUAUAAGGAAUUCAGAUUGAAUGUUUUUGAUGGAGGAUUAAACUUUGACAUUUUCUUUUCUUUCAGGUUAGGUGCCAGCAUGAUUUGGCAGUAAGACCUCAUUACAUCGCCAAGCACGAGUGGACCAGCAAGGGUGUUAGUGACCACGGGAUCAUGGGUCUUUAGUGUUCUACUAAAGAAAGAGGAGUCUGAUGAACCAGAUCUUGGAGAUGUUCAGGGGAUCGUUUGCUAGAUCUAGAUCCAAACUACAACACAGCUGACAUCAGGGAUUCUCAUCUUUUGAAUGAGUGACACUUGUUUGCACAAUUACUGUCUGC